UACGGAGGGUGCAAGCGUUAUCCGGAUUUACUGGGUUUAAAGGGUGUGUAGGCGGGCUUUUAAGUCAGUGGUGAAAUCUCCGGGCUCAACCUGGAAACUGCCAUUGAUACUAUUAGUCUUGAAUAUUGUUGAGGUAGGCGGAAUAAGUCAUGUAGCGGUGAAAUGCAUAGAUAUGACUUAGAACACCAAUUGCGAAGGCAGCUUGCUAAACAAUGAUUGACGCUGAGGCACGAAAGCGUGGGGAUCAAACAGG
rnacentral:rRNA from 1 species